rnacentral:rRNA from 1 species
AUGAAAUUAAUUAUUAUUGAUUUGGUAGUUAUACUUAUUUUCUUUUAAGAUUUAAAUUUUUAGGUGAAAUUUUAAUUUUAUGGAAAAAAGAUUUUGUAGAUCCUACGAGAUUUAUUUUAAAAACAAGGAUUAGAUACCCUUUUAUUUUAAAUGUAAAUUAAAAUUAGGGUAGUAAUAGUUAUGCUCUUGAAACCCAAAGAAUUUGGCGGUAUUUCAUUCUCUUUAGAGGAACCUGUCCCGUGAUUGAUAUUCCACGAUGGAUAAUUACUUACUUUUGUUUUCAUUUUGUAUACCUCCGUCAUCAGAAUAUUUUUUUAGAAUUAAUGUUCCUUUAAUACAAAAUAAGAUAUGUCAGGUCAAGGUGCAAUUUAUAGGUAAGUGGAGAUGGGUUACAAUAAAAUUAUUUAUACGGAUUAUAUUUAUUAUUAAUAAUAUGAAGGUGGAUUUAAAAGUAAAAUUAUUUCCUUAUUAAUUUGAUUUUGGCUCUGAAAUAUGCACACAUCGCCCGUCGCUCUUAUUUUAAAAUAAGAUAAGUCGUAACAUAGUAGGGGUACCGGAAGGUGUCCCUAGAAAGGAAAAUCAAAUUAGAGCUUGAUAGUAAGCAUUUCAUUUACACUGAA